rnacentral:lncRNA from 1 species
UAAACUGAGUUAAAAAAAAAGGUAAAUUUUAAAUAUCAUUCAUGUUAUUUCGUUUUUUUUUCUUUAAUAUUCUAUAGUUUAAAGUGUAUCAAUUUAAUGCCCUAUUAUUUUUUUUUAUUUUUUUGUUGGCCCCUUUGUUAAUAUUUCGUUAAAUUAUAUAAAAAAAAAAUUUCAGAUAUCGCAUUUAUAGUUUAUUUAAUAUUCACUUUAGUACUUUUUAAUUUUAAAUUUAUUAUUAAUUUAACGAAAAAAAUUAAUAGGGGGGUCAACAAAAAGAGGAAAAAUAAAAAGACAUGGCAUGAAGGUGAUAAUACACUUUAAAUAAGAGUAUAUUAAAAUAAAAAAAUGCAAAAUUAAAAAAGGUGACAUUUAAAGUUUUCUCAAUUAAAAAUAAAUGA